CUCUGUGUCUCUGUGUGUGCUGAACAUCUGGAAUCAGAUUGAGUCAGGCUGCAUCAGCUGAAUCUGUUAUUUGUAAAUAUCAAUAUUUUUUAUUCAGGUGUGGGGAUAAUAUGUAAGACUGCAGUGAAGCGAUGUACCAGAUUAAUCCCUGGCCAAAGUCCUCUGACAGACUGGUACCUGUCCAGGUGUGCUCUACCUAUGACUACUGGGACAGGCUCUAAUAGAAAGUUUCUAUUAUUCUCAUUUAAAAACAGUUCUCCACAGUCGCUGUCCACAUGGGUCAGUGGGACCAAGAAGCACUCUGCUAAUGUGAGACUCUGACCAGCAACAUCCAGCAAGACCCAGACAGCGUUUUCUAUCUCCCAGCUGGAGUUUUUUGUUUGUCUGUGACUGGAGAGUCAGAUUUUUGUUGACGCUGGAGGAACAGAGAGGUUAAUACAUGCUACUGAUCCCUGAUGGGAGAAUCAUCACCUCUGCCAACAAAGAAGCCUGGUGGAUGUUUGUUUGCAGUCUGAUGAUGGGACAUCAUGCUCUGCAUCUUCAAAGUUUGUCUCUUGAUUAUUAUUCAUACACAGUAAUGUGAAGUAUGCUCAUAUCUAGUAUAACUGGACCAACCUGGUGCUCUUCAUUUAUGGAGGCUGUUGAGUCUGAAUGUUGGAUGUUGUGUAUCUCGUGUUCUCUGGGCUUUGUUGUCCUCAGUCUUUUUGCAGGAUCAGAAAACAAAACCAGGAGGCGCAUAAAUGUUUCUUCUCCAAUUGGAUGAUGAUAAGACUGUGACACGGGAUGCCACCUUUAGUCUUGUGAUGAAGCAAAGCUCAGGAAGAAGUGUGAUUAAAUGGUACCCACAUGUCGGCACCUGCAGCCAAAUCCAAGCCUCCUCAGCAACUUCAGGUCUGUCAGCGUGCUGAGGUCAGAGAAACAAGAAAAGAAGCUUCAGAGUGUUGUUUACAGUUUUCUGACAUCAUGAUCUCCCCUGAAGUUUAUCACUAUUAUACAAGCAAGCAGAGCAGCAGUUUGUGCUCACAGAUGGUGACGGUGUGGAGAGACGGUGGUGUUUCCUCAGAAGAACUAGCAGAGUCACAAAGGACAUGAGUCCAUCUCACCACCUUGACUUGUUGAUCAGUGGAUACACUUGUCUCCCCUUUAAAGGAGACACUCUUAGAGAGAGACGAUCCGAGUCAUCCUUAAAUAUGGGCAGGAUAUCACUAUUGGACUGUCUAACCUGCUGGAGCAGCACUGAAUAACCACCACACAUGAUCAGUUCCUGCAACAUUCAGCAGCUCUGCUUUUGUGUCAAAUGUCAACCAGCUGGAGAGGAAACUACACCAGUGUACUGGGAUGUUUCAUCAACACGUGCCAGACGCUGUUCCUUCAUGGUGACAUCACCAGAGACGGCCCCGCCCACCUCAUGACCUCGCCAUUGAUCAUGAUGAUUUUAAUGAUGACAGCGAGCGGAACUAAGACUGUAAAAAUCAGAAUGUUUAGAUGCUUUCUAUUUAUUCAUGAAUACUGAGAGCCUCUUUCUGUGUUUUGUCUGUUUUGUUUUUUUUUACCUCAUUUGUUACUAACAAAGUUCACCAAACUCACACAGUUUACAUUCUGUAUGUUUCCAUCUUUACCAGCCACACUCUUAACUGCAAUUAAGCAAAUAAUCCUUAGAAAUCGUCGUUUUUCUCUUUUGUAAUUGAUGAUAAUUCAGUGAAUAUACUGCGCUGCUUCCUUUAAUUGCGUCACACAUUGCUUUAAGUUUUUCCAGUGUCCAGUUAUUUUUUACUGUUGUUUGAAUUCUCUGCAUGUUUGACCCUGUAGACUGUUUGAUGGACUGCUUGUCUUCCUGUUUGUAACCGCUGCCUGUUUUUGACUAAAGAUUUGGAUUUCUGA